rnacentral:lncRNA from 1 species
GGAUGUGAGGGCGGUCUGUUUGCAACAUCUGUCAGCCCACUGAUCGCCGGGGCUGAUUCAGCUGAUCUGGCUGCUAGAUUAGCCCCUUCCUCCCUCACAACUCCAGGAGCGCCCCUCCCAAAGCGGCACACUCGCUGGAAGAUGAAGACCUUCCCCAACAGAGGAGGACCGGUCUUCAGUCAAGGGUAUAAUGGGUAGCUGUGCUCUCCUACUAGAAUCUCCAAAUGAGCUCUCAAG